AAAGAAGCGGAAUUAAAGGACUCUAGCUGGGGGGCUUCUGUGAAGAGCAACAGGAACGCCAGCAGGACCGUUAAGUCGGCCGAGCUAUCUGUUCUUAAACUACACACCCUUGGCUCCAGCCCGGUCCUUUUCCUUUCCAAUAAGGGCCGCAGUGGGGAGAUCCGUGGGGAUCUGGUCCACCAUUUUGGAAAUGCUGAUGGGGUCGUUAGGGAGAUCCUACUCAAAAUGAGGAAACUCUAUGAGUACCUCCUGAAAAUGUGUGCUGCACAACAAGCUGCAUCGACAUCUGCUGGUCCACCAGCCCCCCCUGGACCAGAGCAAGAGCCAGAGCGAGAGACGGAGCGAGGGACAGAGACGGAGCCAGAGCCAGAGCCAGAGCCAGAGCCAGAGCCAGAGCCAGAGCUUCCGGAGACAUUUACUCUCCAUCUUUUUUCUCUUCCUCCACCUCCUCCAUG